rfam:Camponotus floridanus CamFlo_1.0_4.contig7661, whole genome shotgun sequence.
AAAGUAAUUCCAUAGACGAGUAUGAAUUUAGUGCACGUGCAUCGUAUUAUUUCGUGACUAGAUACAUACUCUUCUACGGUAAUCUAUC